GGCAGGGAGAGGCUCCCCAAACAACCUAGAAUUGCCUCUUUUACAGCCCAGCACCCCCUUCUGCCUCAGGGCACUAGGGGAGGAGACACAGAGCCUUGCUUUGAGACCCAUGCUUCAGGUCUGCCCUUCUUAUGAGCUGAGAAGGUAGGACCUGAGAUUGCCUAGCUUAAGUUCAGGGGCUGAGGGUGAGAGAGGAAGCCCCAUCCCGGGUUGAGAGUCUGAAAAUAACCCAUUUCUGCCUCUGCUGUCAGCCCUGCACUGUGAAGUGGAGAAUUCUCAGGUGAGCACCCCCUUCUGCCAGGCAUCCCUGGAAUUCACACCCGGUUCUGAGGCCCCUGCUUAAGGUGGGAGUAGGAGAGAGGACCUGGGUUCAUCGAGGUCAAGUUGAGGGUUGUAGGGGAAGUGGGCCUUGCUGUGAGGAUCUUCACCAGGUCACAGGAGGAGACGCGUCCUGUCAGGAAAGGGAG
rnacentral:lncRNA from 1 species